GACGAACGCUGGCGGCGUGCUUAACACAUGCAAGUCGAACGGAAAGGCCCUGCUUUUGUGGGGUGCUCGAGUGGCGAACGGGUGAGUAACACGUGAGUAACCUGCCCUUGACUUUGGGAUAACUUCAGGAAACUGGGGCUAAUACCGGAUAGGAGCUCCUGCUGCAUGGUGGGGGUUGGAAAGUUUCGGCGGUUGGGGAUGGACUCGCGGCUUAUCAGCUUGUUGGUGGGGUAGUGGCUUACCAAGGCUUUGACGGGUAGCAGGCCUGGGAGGGUGACCGGACACAUUGGGACUGAGAUACGGCACAGACUCCUACGGGAGGCAGCAGUGGGGAAUAUUGCACAAUGGGCGGAAGCCUGAUGCAGCAACGCAGCGUGCGGGAUGACGGCCUGCGGGUUGUAAACCGCUUUCGCCUGUGACGAAGCGUGAGUGACGGUAAUGGGUAAAGAAGCACCGGCUAACUACGUG
rnacentral:rRNA from 1 species